UUAUAUUUAAUAGGAUAUAAAGCGAUUCCAAAAUAGUCGUUGAAAGUAGGUACAUAAUAUAAUAACUCAUUCGUUAAAGUACCUAACAACUGAAGCAGUGGCAUGUGUUUCUAUUUCCAUACAUAGGCUUUACAACGAUGAUCCAGUGGUAUGGCAAAAUAAGUAUUCAUGUCAACGAUAAAAUGUUUAAAAUGCAAGUAAAAUAAACUGAGAAAAAAAUAGAAUAGUGUCAAGGAUUCAUCUGCAAUUCAAUUCAUACCACGCAACUUUCACAACAAAAUAAAAUAAAAAUACACAUACAAUUGUGUCAGCAGUGGCAAUAAUAAUAAUUAUUAUUAUACUUCUAGCGUGUGAUGAUAAUGGGUUGACAGAAUAAAACUGAACUAAGCAUCAAUCAUCAAAACAUGCAGAUCGAACAACCCCAUAAUAUUAACAAGCAACCACAAAACUGUUUGAUAUUUUUUUUAAUGGCUUAGAUCAAAAUGAUUUAUAUACUUGUCAUAAUUUCAGUAUAUUCAACAUCUCAGAAAUUUCGCUAAUCAAUGUUAAGUCUGGCUCAAUACCCCAAUCCCAUUAUCUCACUAGAGUUCUCUCAAAAAGCUGCUCUAACGAAUGAUUUUUUGUUGGACAUUAAAAGUUAUUAAUGUUCAUGCUUGAAUCUAUAGUAUCAGAAUUUGCGAACUGCAGAGAUGAAAAAGGACACGCCUUCAUUCACUAGGUUUGUCAAUUCCAAUCAGAAAUGUUCAUUUCGUAAUUUUAUUAUGCUUCGAAGACGAAACCAUUUUUCAAGCUUAGUAAAAAGAAUACUGGAGCAGAUACAGAGACGCAAUGACUUAAAGGAACGUAAAUAAAUAACAUGAUGUACCAGCGUAGCAGUGUCAUUCUCGAGAAACUGGUUAACCAUUCUCUAACCACUAUAACUACUACAAAUAUAUCCCUGUAAACAUGUACAUAGUUAAAUGGUUUUUAUUGUUGUUAUUAUUAUUAUAGUUAUACAGUAUUCAAAAUGAA